CAUAUAAUUUCAAUAAAUCGUGAAUUGUCCCAUAUAUAAACGUCAUAGGACAACUCGCGGUUUAUUGGAUGGUGAGUUGACUGAACUUUUUUUCUUCAUACAAAUUUACACGGACAACUCAAGAUCACUUUUCCACUAGGUCAACUCUCCAUCAUUUACCUUAUUCAUUUUUGUAUUUAAAAUAGCU